UUGUAAUUACUUUCAGCUAUGUAACUGCUGUCAGUUUGAUUUUUAGUGGAUGCAUCAAGUCUGUUCCCCUCAAGUUCACAUCGGUGUCCUAGCAAAGUAACCAAAGUCAUUGUCACGAAGAAACUCAGAGGCAGAGAGAUGAACACAACAGCAGGGUUUAUUGAACAGCUAAAGUGAUUCAACAAUGUAAACGACAGGCGAGAUAAUCCAGGAAGAGAUGUGAUGAUAACAGUUGGAAACAUAAACAACACAGGAUGAUCCAAACAAGGGAAUGCACAACACCAAACUAAGAUGAGGAGAACAUGGAUCAUAGUAAGUAGCAAACAGUGAUGGCGGAGGGAGACCUGAUAAGGCACACCAGAGCAUCAGAAUGGGAGAGAGAGUUUCAAGAAGGCAGAUCUGAGAGAGACUACGCUGUAUUACCAAGAGUUUAUGUUAGUUGAUGGUUAACGUCAACUGUGUGUGCGACCAUAAUUAAAAGAACUGAACUUG